UCUAGGGAAAAGCGGAGAACAAAGUCAGAGACCAGCGCCCAGCUCUCAGCUGACCGAGACCUUUGCCCUGACCGAUCUGCAUUCGUCCUAGGUCCCAGCGCUCCGUUUUGCCCUCUCUCUUGCUUGUCAGAUCAUGGAUUGUGCCUUCUGCCCCAAUUCCGGGCAUUCUCUACCGGUGGGACCCGACCACUGCUCUGUCUUUCAAGAGGGGAGAGGCCUUGCCUCCCACCCCAAACAAGCUCUGGAAAGUGAUGUCUUUGCUACCUUGUCUCCAGCGACCUUGGAAGACAGGUCAUAUAUCAGAGACAGGUCAUGUAUUAUGAGAUCAUAUGCAAUGCUGUGAUGCUAUGAAGUACUAAGAAACACAUACGACAUGUUUCAAAAUGUUCACGGAAAAUGGGUGUUAUGAAAAAAACCUAUGCAUGGAUUUAAAAAAAUUUGAGGGGGGUAACACUGUGGCACAGUGGGUUAAGUCACCUCCUGCAGUGCCAACAUCCCACAUGGGUGCUGGAUUGAGUCUUGGCUGCUCUACUUGCUAUCCAGCUUCCUGCUAAUGCACCUGGGAAAGCAGCAGAAGAUGACCCAAGUGCUUGGGCCCCUGCCAUCCAUGUGGAAGACCAGGAAGAAGCUCCUGGCUCCUGGCUUCAGCCUGACCCAGCUCCAGCCAUUGAGGCCAUUUGAGGAGUGAACCAGAUGGAAGACCUUUCUCUCUCCUCCUUCUUCUGUAACUCUGCCUUUCACAUAAAUAAAAUAAAUCUUAAAAAAAUUUUUUUGCAGCACACUAACCUUUAAAAUUAUUUUCAAUUAAUUUUAUCCUUUAAAAAUUUUAUAUAUUUUGGGGGCUGGUACUGUGGUGCAGCAGGUAAAACUGCCACCUGCAGUGCUGGCAUCCCAUGUGGGUGCUGGUUUGAGUCCCGGAUGCUCCAUCCAGCUCUCUGUUAAGGCCUGGGAAAGCAGUAGAAGAUGGUCCAAGUUCUUGGGCCCCUGCACCCAUGUGGGAGACCCAGAAGAAGCUCCUGGCUGCUGGCUUUGGAUUGGUGCAGCUCCGGCCAUUGUGGCCAAUUGGGGAGUGAGCCAGCAGAUGGAAGACCUCUCUCUCUCUCUCUCUUUCUCUCUCUCUCUCCGCCUCUCCUCUCUCUGUGUAACUCUGAAUUUCAAAUAAAUAAAUAAAUAUUUUUUUAAAAAAGUUUUAUAUAUUUGAAAGAGAAAGCAAAAGAAAGAGAGAGAGAGAGAGGUCUCUUCCAACCACUGGUUCAUUUUUUUCAAUGCCUAUAACAGCCAGGGCUGGGCCCAGGCUGAAGCUAAAAACUAGGAACUCAUCUGGGUCUCCAAUGUGGGUGGCAGGGACUCGAGUACUUGAGCCAGCACCUGCUGCCUCCCUGGGUGUGCAUUAGCAGGAAGCUGGAUCAGAAGCAUAUACAGAACUUGAAUCCAGGCACAUGGAUAUGGAAUGUGGGCAUCCGAAGUAGUAGCUGUGCUACAACACCCACCCCUAAACUAAUUUUUAAAAAGAUUUAUUUAUUUGAAAAGCAGAGUUCCAGAGGGAGAGAGGGCGAGAGAGGAAGAGAGAGAGAGAGAGAGAGAGAGAGAGAGAGAGAUCUUCCACCCACUGGUUCACUCCCCAAAUGACUCCAACAACCAUGUCUGGGCCAGGCUGAAGCAAGAAGCCAAGAGCCAGGAGCUUCUUCCUGGUCUCCUGUGUAGGUGCAGGCCAUCUUCCACUGCUUUCUCAAGUGCAUCAGCAGGUAGCUGGAUUGGAAGUGGAGCAGCCAGGACUUGAACUGGUGCCCAUAUGGGAUGCUGGCAGCAUCUUUACCCACUGCACCACAGCUCUGGCACCCUUCAACGUAUUUUUAAUUCCAUUUUUUCACACAAUUUGAAAAGUAACCUUGUAUAUAUUGGUCUUUGCCCCAGUUCCUGAAAAACAGCUCCUAAAACCCUUGAACUUCCUUAGCAGUAGGGGUGCUAAGAGCAUUCUUGGUUCUAAUGUUUGGUCAUCAACCCUGGCUCCUGACACAGAGCUCCGAAAUCCCAUGGCAUUUCCUUGGUCAUAGCAGCGCCUUCUGUUCCAAAGGGGUAACUCUCGGUAGACUCCUGGUGGGAGCUGCUCACUACCAAGACCAAGCUGUGAUUAGAAGGCUGGAACUUCCAGCUCUGUUCCUCAUGCUCUGGGAGAGGAGGAGCCGGAGACUGAGUUAAUAAUCACGCAUACAGGAUGAAGCCUCCAUAACAACCUCAAAAGCACAGGGCAGACGUUUAGCCCAGGAGUUGGGAUGCUGGCUAAGACGCCCGGAUCCUGUGUCAGCAAUGCCUGGGUUCAACGCCUGGCUCCGGCUCCGGCUCCGGCUCCGGCUCCAGCUCUGGCUCCGGCUCCAGCCAGCUUCCUGUUAAUGCAGGUCUUGAAAGGCAAGUAGUUGGGUUAAUGCCACCCUCAUGGGAGACCUGGGGUGGGUUCCAGGAUCUUGACUUUGGCCCAGCCCAGCCCCAGACAUUGCAGAUACUUGGAAAGUCGAUCAGGAGACGGGAGCUCUAUCUAUCUGCCUGUUUCUCUGCCUCUCAAAUAAAAUAUAUCAAUAUUUAAGCAUAAUUUCAAAAGUGUGCGGUUCUAAGAACUUCCAGGUUGAACGAAACAUCCACACACCAGGACGUGGUGCCCCGACAGCACAGAACGGGAGCUCCUGUGCUCAGGACCUCUCCAGACUCCAUGUACCUUGUCUUCCGGCUGUCCCACCUGUGGCCCUCACCAUAUCCUUUAUUAUACGCUCAACCUGCUGCACCGUAACGCUGGUUCCUCAAGGUGACCCUGGAGCUGACACUGACAUGACCAGAAGACACAAGCUAUGUGAAGACCGCAGUGAAGGAAGAUCCACACAGAGGGAAAAGGGAUUCCAGAAUGUUGGAGCAGGUGUCCAGCCCACUCUUCUUAUCCAAGGAUACUUCAUAACGCUCAUGGGAAAAUGGAAUGGAAAGAUAACUUCAGGACUGGCAUUGUGGCACAGCAGGUUAAGCUGCUGCCCGCAACACUGGCAUCCCAGUGGUUUGAGCUCUGGCUGCUCUGCCUCUGAUCCAGCUCCUUGCUGAUGGACUGGGAAAGCAGUGGAACAUGACCCAAGUACCUAGGACCUUGCACCCAUGUGGGAGACUCGGAUAGAGUUCCAGGCUCCUGGCUUCGGCCUGGUCCAGUCCUGGCUGUUGCAGGCAUUUGGAGAAUGAAAGCAGAUGGAAGCUUGAUCUCUCUUUCUCUCUCUCUCUCUCUCUCUCUCUCUCUCUCUCUGUAACUCUGCCUCUCAAAUAAAUAAA